rnacentral:rRNA from 1 species
CCUACCAAGGCGAUGAUGCAUAGCCCGAGUUUGAGAGACUGAUCGGCCACAUUGGGACUGAGACACGGCCCAAACUCCUACGGGAGGCAGCAGUAGGGAAUCUUCCACAAUGGACGCAAGUCUGAUGGAGCAACGCCGCGUGAGUGAAGAAGGGUUUCGGCUCGUAAAGCUCUGUUGUUGGUGAAGAAGGACAGGGGGUAGUAACUGACCUUUGUUUGACGGUAAUCAAUUAGAAAGUCACGGCUAACUACGUGCCAGCAGCCGCGGUAAAU